rfam:Gossypium hirsutum cultivar TM-1 chromosome 6, whole genome shotgun sequence
UGUUAAAGAUUUAAUCAAUUUCUACUAUUUAAAAUCUGGUGUCUAAUGAAAUAACUAGAUAGUUAUAAAUGGAGUGUCGCGUGUACCUUAUACUGACAUAUAGGGAUCAGUUUUUAACAGGAGAAAUGGAUAAAUUUUUAAUA